UGUGGAUAGGGGUGAAAGGCCAAUCAAACACCGUGAUAGCUGGUUCUCCCCGAAAUGCAUUUAGGUGCAGCGUUGCGUGGUUCUUGUUGGAGGUAGAGCACUGGAUGGUCUAGGGGGCUUAUCGGCUUACCGAAAUCAGCCAAACUCCGAAUGCUGGCAAGUGUAGCGUGGCAGUGAGACGGCGGGGGAUAAGCUUCGUCGUCGAGAGGGAAACAGCCCAGAUCAUCAGCUAAGGCCCCUAAGUGGUGACUCAGUGGGAAAGGAUGUGGAGU
rnacentral:rRNA from 1 species